UACGUAGGGGGCAAGCGUUGUCCGGAUUUAUUGGGCGUAAAGAGCGUGUAGGCGGUUUGGUAGGUCCGUUGUGAAAACUCGAGGCUCAACCUCGAGAUGUCGGCGGAAACCGUCUGGCUAGAGUCCGGAAGAGGAGAGUGGAAUUCCUGGUGUAGCGGUGAAAUGCGCAGAUAUCAGGAAGAACACCUAUGGCGAAGGCAGCUCUCUGGGACGGUACUGACGCUGAGACGCGAAAGCGUGGGGAGCGAACAGG
rnacentral:rRNA from 1 species